rnacentral:rRNA from 1 species
CCUACGGGAGGCAGCAGUGGGGAAUAUUGGACAAUGGGCGAAAGCCUGAUCCAGCAACGCCGCGUGAGGGAUGACGGCCUUCGGGUUGUAAACCUCUUUCAGCGCAGACGAAGCGAAAGUGACGGUAUGCGCAGAAGAGGCACCGGCCAACUACGUGCCAGCAGCCGCGGUAAUACGUAGGGUGCGAGCGUUGUCCGGAAUUAUUGGGCGUAAAGGGCUCGUAGGCGGUUUGUUGCGUCGGGAGUGAAAACUCAGGGCUUAACCCUGAGCCUGCUUCCGAUACGGGCAGACUAGAGGUAUGCAGGGGAGAACGGAAUUCCUGGUGUAGCGGUGAAAUGCGCAGAUAUCAGGAGGAACACCGGUGGCGAAGGCGGUUCUCUGGGCAUUACCUGACGCUGAGGAGCGAAAGUGUGGGGAGCGAACAGGAUUAGAUACCCUGGUAGUCCACACCGUAAACGUUGGGCGCUAGGUGUGGGACUCAUUCCACGAGUUCCGUGCCGCAGCUAACGCAUUAAGCGCCCCGCCUGGGGAGUCGGCCGCAAGGCUAAACNCAAAUGAAUUGACCGGNNGAGACGNGCGACGACGACGACGAGGGAGAGG